GACGAACGCUGGCGGCGUGCUUAACACAUGCAAGUCGAACGGAAAGGCCCGGCUUUUGUGGGGUGCUCGAGUGGCGAACGGGUGAGUAACACGCGAGUAACCUGCCCUUGACUUUGGGAUAAAUUCAGGAAACUGGGGCUAAUACCGGAUAGGAGCUCCUGCUGCACGGUGGGGGUUGGAAAGUUUCGGCGGUUGGGGAUGGACUCGCGGCUUAUCAGCUUGUUGGUGGGGUUGUGGCUUACAAAGGGUUUGACGGGUAGCCGGCGUGAGAGGUUGACCGGCUGCAUUGGGACUAAGAUACGGCCCAGCAGCCUAUGGGAGGCAACGGUGGUGAAUAUGACUCAAAAAAGCAACGCGAGAUACAACGACGCCGCGUGCGGAAUGUCCGCCUUCGGGUUAUGAACAGCUUUGGCCGAAAACGAGGAGAGAGUGACGGUACUUGCUAAGGAAGCACCGGCUAACUACGUG
rnacentral:rRNA from 1 species